UGCUGACUGCAGUCAUAGCACUGUGUGUCACACUCACUCAAGAGAGACAACAGUUCAUAUCCAAUAAUGAAAACCUGACCAAUGAGAGAGAACAGCUAAUACUCAAGAACACAAACCUGACCAAUGAGAGAGAGCAGCUAAUAAUCAAGAACACAAACCUGACCAGUUACCUUCAGAUUUGUGUUGGAUGGACUUGCUAUCAGUCCAGUUUUUACUUCAUGUCUACAGAGAAGAAGAACUGGACUGAGAGCAGAAAAUACUGUACAGAGAGAGGAGCAGAUCUGAUCAUCAUAAACAACAGAGAGGAAAAAGAUUUUGUUCACAACAAGUCUGGUAAUGCUGUAUUUUAUAUUGGUCUGACUGACACUGAUGCGGAGGGCACAUGGAAAUG